GUAAGGGAAAAAGGCCGGGUGUUCGUGUUGCUGAAAAUUGGACAAGGAGGAGAAUCGAGAAGCUUUUCUUCUUCUGCAAGUAGCUUACUGAAGAUUGUCGGUCCGGUACACUCGAUCGCGUUUCGGUUUCGGGUUUUCGGCUCUUCUAUCUUCAAUGGAAGGUGUGCCUUUUCACGACGGCAACAUCCACGACUUGAUUGAGAGACGAUACGUCGACGUUCGGCACGAUGCCAAUCAAAGGUUGCAGAUGCACUCGUCGUUGGUGCGAAGGCUUUCGCAGGAAAGGGAAUUGGAGGGGCAUCAAGGUUGUGUUAAUUCUAUUGCUUGGAAUUCGAAUGGCUCGCUUUUAAUAUCUGGAUCAGAUGACACACGGAUAAAUAUCUGGAACUACCCUAGUCGGAAGCUUUUGCAUUCUAUAGAGACUGGGCAUUGUGCGAACAUAUUUUGUACAAAAUUUGUCCCUGAAACUUCUGAUGAGCUCGUGGUCUCUGGAGCUGGAGAUGCAGAAGUUCGAUUAUUUAAUUUGUCUCGUUUAAAUGGGAGAGGAACUGAUGAUAAUGCUAUUUCUCCAUCAGCUGUGUAUCAAUGCCAUACUAGAAGAGUAAAAAAGUUAGCUGUUGAAGUUGGAAAUCCCAAUGUGGUAUGGAGUGCAAGUGAAGAUGGAACUUUGAGACAGCAUGACUUCCGAGAGGGUACUUCUUGCCCACUUGCUGGAUCCACUAAUCAAGAAUGUCGCAAUGUUUUGCUUGACUUGCGGUGUGGAGCAAAGAAGUCACUGGCUGAUCCCCCCAAACAAAAUUUUUCUUUAAAAUCUUGUGAUAUCAGUUCCACUAGACCUCAUUUACUCCUAGUUGGCGGGAGUGAUGCAUUUGCACGUUUAUAUGAUAGAAGGAUGCUGCCACCACUGACAUCCUGUCGGAAACGGACAGCGCCACCUCCUUGUGUUAACUAUUUUUGUCCAAUGCAUCUCUCUGACCGUGGACGUGCUAGCUUGCAUUUGACUCAUGUUGCAUUUAGUCCAGAUGGAGAAGAGGUUCUACUUAGUUAUAGUGGGGAGCACGUAUAUUUGAUGAAUGUAAAUCAUGCUGGUGAGAGUGUUAUGCAGUAUACUCCUGGAGAUGUUUCGAAACUAACGAGCUUCAGUCCUCUACUCAAUGGUGCUGAACUGCAUCAACCAGCAUCCAUUGUGUUCAGAAAUGGUGUUCCUAAAAGAGGCAACAUUGCUGCUAGGUUUGAGAAGUGCAGGAAUCUAAUUCAAAUUGCUGAAAGAUCCUUGGAGGGGACAGAUUAUUUUUAUGGCAUUGAAGCGUGCAAUGAGGUGUUGGAUGGAAACAGUUGUGGUAUUGGGCCUACACUAAAGCAUGAUUGCCUUUGUAUUCGUGCGGGAUUGUUGCUUAAGCGCAAGUGGAAAAAUGAUGUUCAUAUGGCUAUAAGAGAUUGUUAUAAUGCUAGGAGGCUCAAUAGCUCCUCUUUCAGUGCUCAUUACUAUAUGUCUGAUGCUUUAUCGCAGUUGGCUAAACAUAAAGAAGCUCUGGAAUUUGCUAUCGCAGCCCAAUCUUUGGCUCCAUCAAAUUCUAAAGUAGCAGAACGAUUGGAGCAUGUAAAAAGGGAUCUUGCUGCAGCUGAAUCUGAAAGAAAUGGUAAGCCAAAUGAUGGAGCACCCAGGUCUGAACCUCGAGGUGAAAGAGUACUAUCACUGAGUGAACUACUCUACCGAUCAGAGGGUAAUAGUGAUGUUUCACAAGAUGGUCCAAGAUCUGAAAGAGAAGAUUCUGAUUAUGAUGAGGAAUUGGAGUUGGACUUUGAAACGUCGAUCUCAGGUGAUGAAGAGCAUGACAUCGAGCCCAAUAUUCUACAAGGAAGCUUAAACUUGAGAAUUCAUCGAAGAAGUGAUUCUGCUAGAGAAGUUGGUGGUGCAAACGGCUCAUCUGGAUCCCCUUCUUUGUCGUCUCAAAAUGAAAGACUAACAUAUCAGCCUGAGGCAGCGAUUGAUAUGAAACAGAGAUAUGUUGGCCAUUGUAAUGUUGGAACUGACAUAAAACAGGCCAGCUUUCUUGGGCAGCGAGGAGAAUAUGUUGCUAGUGGAAGUGAUGAUGGCAGAUGGUUUGUCUGGGAGAAGCGAACUGGUAGACUGAUAAAAAUGUUUCAAGGAGAUGAAGCUGUUGUGAACUGUAUACAGUGCCAUCCGUUUGAUUGUGUUGUGGCAACUAGUGGAAUUGACAACACAAUAAAAAUUUGGACGCCAAGUGCCUCAGUCCCAUCUAUUGUAGCUGGUGGAGCAGCAGGACCAGAAAAUGCUGACGUUUCGGUAGUCAUAGAAUCCAAUCAGCACAGAUUAAGCCAUAAUCGCGAGACUAUCCUGUACAGCCGUUCUGAAAUUUUGGAGCAUUUUCGAAUGCACGAGUUCGCUGAAGGAAGCUUGCACCCAUUUGAGUGCGCUCAGAGCUGACAAGGUCUAGUGGAAGUAUGGAGUGGAGGAGGAAGUUGCUGAUUUCAUAACAUGAAUACGAAAGUGAAAGCUCCUCUAUUGGCUGUACCCGUUUCCAUGUGACAUUUGAUGGUUCUGUCGUUGCAUUUUUUUUGGGCUUUUUUGGAUGCAACGAUUGUGGAGGGUGUAGGUUAAGUCCGACAAUAGGUUCGCCGUAUAAUGUGGAAUCGUUCUCGCCAUCUAUGGGAGUCAAAUUCAAAACUUCACUUACAAAUAAAAGAAAACCAGCAGGUUGUAGUUCUAAUGUCUAGUUCCAGUUCACUGCUUUGUUGAUUCUGUGUUGUUUAAUCACUAAAAGCAACAUAUGCACGGCAACAAAAUUCGACGUUGAUUAGGCUACUUAGUCAGGGCAAUGUAUUCGUCUCUUUUACCCAAGUUCGAGAGCAGAAGAAAACGUAAGUUGAUGUGGUUACCUUCCGUUGUGUUGCUUGUAGUUUACGUAGCCACGGCUGCCUAAUGUUA